UUUUUCUUUUCCUUUCACCAAGUGCUUGCGGAAUGUAGAUUUCUCUUUCAACUCUUUGGAUUCCUAUUUCAACUCAUGAAAGUUCUGUGUUCAUUAUAAUAUUUUAUGUAUGUUAAGAACUGUUUGGUACUUUGACAAAUAAUGACACUGGAAUUUUUAUUGUGGUUGAAAUCGUUAAUCUAUGGUGCACUAUGUUAUUACUGCUGCAGGUUCUGCUGACAAAAUUGAAGAGUCUACCUCCAUUAUUCGAAGAAACGCCAAAUGCAAUCCAUGAAUUGACACUAGCAAGUAACAUUUCGCCCCUAAUAUGACCUGAGAUCUUUCGUGUAAUUCUUCUUGAUUUCCUUUGAAAUUUUUGUUUUGAUUGACUAUUAAUAUUGGUUACUGCAACAUUGUUCAGGGGAAAUAUAUGAGCAUGCGGUUGUUUUAAGUGUGAAGAUUGAGGAUUUGGAUGCUUUUGAGAGGGACUUUUUCCAACUGAAACCUUACUACACAGAUGCACGGUAAGUUGGUAUCUAUACAUUAUUAUAUGUCAAUGCUCAUGUUACCAUGUUUGUACAGUACAUGACAGAGAGGGUGGCAAAAAAGGGGCUGAGCGUUGUAAUCACUUUUGAAAAUGAUCUCUUUUUAUCGUACUUGUUCUUUUUUUUAAUAUAAAUAAAAUAAGAGGACUUCUUCCACAACCUCUUUCAUGAGACAAAGUGAUGUCUGAGUUGAUCCAUACAUCACAUUUUUUGAAUAUUAAUCCUCCGUUUGGAUACAAAUUUGUAAAUGGUUUUUAAAUUCAGUCAAAUUCAAAUAUAAUUUCAACCACACAUAUUAACCCUAUUCAUUACUAUCCACACAUUUUGUGGAACCCACUACCAUUCCUUUUUAUAAACCAUUUAUAAAUUUGCCAAAGGGAAGCUAAAUUGAUGGUUAUUUUCUUUGUCAUUGGGGUUGAAAAUGCAAUAACCUCAAGCAGUUAAGAACUAGGGGCCAAGUGGACACGCAGAGUUUAUUCUUAUGGAUGCUGUCAAAAGAAACUUGGACAUGUUGAGAUUUCCAAAAAAAUGACAAUAUAUGCUGUCUGUCUCACAUUGAAACUCUACUUUCUUGGGAGUCUCAAUGCUUCUUAGAUGUACACAUUUUCCAGUGUUGUAUACAAUUUCAACGGUGUUGGGGGUGUUAUAAGCAUUGAUUUAAUAAAUUGGUACAUUUUGCUAACCUUUGUUUUUUCAAAGGUGACUCUAAUUUUGUGACAUUUUUACAUUUCUGUUUCAUUGAGCCCCGUUUGACAACCAUUAUUUGAACUCUUUUUUUUACAUAUUAAUUUUCAACCAAACAUUUGCACAAUAAAAUAUUCUGCAUGAACCCAAAACUUUUUUCCUAGUUUUUAACAAUACAUUCUCCUAAAAAUCACUAUUCAAAACAUUGUUUUUCCAAAAUAAUGGUUGUCAAACAGGAGCUGAAUAUGAUGUUUCACUUUCCAAUAUAUAACUUAAGAAGACAGUUUCACUAUGUCGGGUUUUUUAUUUUUAAGACAGUGCUUAUGGCCUUUAUUGCAUUUGAUUGUGCAGUGGCCGUCUUCCACAGUCCCCACAGGAGUAUCUGAUCUUGGGUCUCAACCUUCUGAGACUCCUUGUGCAGAACAGAAUUGCUGAAUUCCAUACUGAGUUGGAAUUACUAUCUGAUGUUGCUUUGGAAAAUCCUUGCAUCAAGCAUGCUGUUGAGUUGGAACAAUCCUUCAUGGAGGGAGCUUAUAACCGUGUUUUGAGUGCUAGACAAACCGUACCUCAUGAAACCUACGUUUAUUUUAUGGAUUUGCUGGCAAAUACUGUCAGGUAUGUUUUUUCCUCCCCAUUUUUGGGUUUCAUUUGCUAUUUCAUUUUCUUCUUGGUAGUUGGAGUUGAUUUAGAACUAAUAAUUACCAUUUGUUACAAAAGCCAAUGGGAAGAAGUAGCUUCUUUAGAUAUUUAGAUACUGUUGUCAUUUCCAUCAACCUACUUGGAUCAGUUUCAUGCACAUUAUCAUGAGCUACUAAUUUACUUUACUGUUGCCUUAAUUUUUUAUCGGAACUCUGCUGCAUAAGAUAGUCCUUAAUGUGGGCGUGCUAUACAUAGAUUUCCAGUUGUAUUUUUGCUCCUGAAAUUUUAUUUGUUGUUGGUAGGGACGAGAUAGCUGGAUGCAGCGAGAAGGCAUAUGACAGCCUUUCCAUAAAGGACGCACAGCAAAUUCUUCUGUUUUCUUCAGAUUAUGAACUGGUUGAAUACAUUAAGAAAGUAAGUGCCUUGCAACACAUUGCUCCAAACCUUCACUCUACAUAAACCCAACACUGUGGGGUAAUCAAGUUUCCAAAUUUGGCCUUCUGCUAAUUAAGCCCAUGUUUGAUAGAAUUUUUUUGGAAAAAAUGAGUUUUUGAAUGGUAAAUUUUUGGGGAAUAUGUAGUUAAAAAGUAGAAAAGAGUUUUGUGUUUACGUGAAGAAUAUUUUACUACGAGGAUGUGUGAUUGAAAAUUAGUAUGAAAAAAAUUGUCAAACAGGUGCCAAAUGGGAGCAGCACUAAUUGCUUGUUUGGUAUUGUAGAUGAUAUGAUAAUACGAAGGACAAUAUUAAAGAUAAGAACGAAGUAAAAUUUUAUUUAUUAAAAUGUUAAACCUUGACUAGUACGUUGAGCAUUUACCAUUUGCAAUAUGUAGGAGCAUCCCGAGUGGGAGAUUGAGAAUGGGUUUGUAUUUUUCCAACGAGCCAAAGAAUCGGUGCCUUGCAAGGAAAUUCCAUCUUUGCAACUUAUCAAUCAGACGCUCAGUUAUGCAAGGGAAUUGGAGCGCAUCGUGUGAGGGAUGUGCUGCCCAGUCGUUGUUUGUUCUUCCAUUUUCAUUAUAUUUGGUGGCUAAUCCGUUGUUUCUGUUUGGGAGUAUUUAUUAACUACAUCACAAAAUCCAGAAUGACAAAAUAUUUAAACGUUGUUGGAUUUUUUUAUUUUUUUUGUAUUUUGUCGAUUUGAAUCCAUUUUUCGUAUUUUGUUGUGUUCCCAACAGAAGGCAUAUAAAUCUAGUGGAUAUGAUCUUUUUACUUAUUGGCACAGACCAUUUUAGUGGAUGCACAUAGCAUUACCGAUGAGUGAUGAGUUACCAUAUGGCCCGUAUGGCAUGUCUUUUUGCUUCUACUUCAGAUAGAAGAGUUUUAAGAGAGUUAAGUUUUGUUUGGAAACUAAUUUUCAAAAGAAUUUUUAAUUUCAGAAGUGUCUUUAGAGGAAGAUACAAUGGAC
rnacentral:lncRNA from 1 species